UACGUAGGGUCCAAGCGUUGUUCGGAAUUACUGGGCGUAAAGCGCGCGUAGGCGGGUUUGUAUGUCGAUUGUGAAAUCCCCGGGCUCAACCUGGGAACUGCAGUCGAAACUGCAAAUCUUGAAUGUCUGAGAGGAUGGCGGAAUUCCCGGUGUAGUAGUGAAAUACGUAGAUAUCGGGAAGAACACCUGUGGCGAAGGCGGCUACUGCGGCGAUACU
rnacentral:rRNA from 1 species